ACCUCGUAAAAACAGUUGGUAGAGCGUUAGACUUUUAAUCUAACGGUGAGGGGUUCGAAUCCCCUACGGAGUU
rfam:Angiostrongylus costaricensis strain Costa Rica genome assembly, scaffold: ACOC_contig0003375